ACAUGUUGGUAAGCAUAGAUCUGUUGACAAUCAACAAAUCUGCUGAAGAGAUAUGUUCGGCAUAGAAGAACAAUUAUUUUCUUGACAUAGCAAACAAAAUUAUAUUUUAUUUCUACACAUACGAGCAUUCCACAUGUUCCAGUAAGGAAGGAAGUCUCUAAAGAUGGUUAGAAACUCAUGAAACUAAUAGCAUAUGAUCGAUCAAGUGCAUCAGAAUUUAGUGCCAGUAGCAAUUUCAUUAUUUUCCUAGGGACAACAGAAGCACAAGCUACCCAUACAAGAUAGCGUCACCAUACAAAGUCAAAGAAUUGCAUUUCAGAAUGGUAGCAACAUCAUACUAGUCAUUUCAUCAUAGUACCAGCAGGAUACAAGAUGACCUCAAAUGGAACUCGAAUAUCUACACAUCUCCACAGAAAAGCACAUAAACAUUUUACCAAUUGCUCACCAGCAGACAAUUGGACGAUCCAAUUCUUGCCUGCCUUGUCCUGGAUAAAACUAAAUGUGUAAAUCUGGUGCUGGUUACUACCCACUCAAAGAUACAUAACUUUGCUAAAGAACAGACAAUUAAAGUACUGAACUGAUUGACCUGGAGCCUACUACAUUGCUACCGCCGAGUGCAACCAACCAUGGAGCACUGAACAAAGACACAUAACACUAAACCGAUUACCUAAUCUAGUAGAAACUGAAUCAUGGAGCGCAGGGAUCAACCCAAGGCUAUAUAUAGAUUUAUAGCAUACGGAAACUUGUGAAGUACAUACAGGCAGGGGUGUGAAAAAAGUCAGAGAUAGGUAGCAGGUGAGAUCUAAGGCAUUAUUGUCCCCAUCAGUACCAAAGAAGAAGAUUAAAUUAAAGGACAAAUAAUAGUAACACCUGCAUUCUCUUCAUACUAAUUGCUAGUGAGUGUUUGCAAGCUUUCUUUUUCCAACUAGCAACAACACAGUCAGACGAGUAGCAACUGUACAACACAGCCAGAUUGGUUUAUUUAUCAAAUGGGCAAUCUUACAAUUUCUUUUAUCUUUUGUGCUGUUACCAUCUUUAGUUCAGAUAUCGUACAUUUCCAUAUGCAUUAUGUCUGAAUAUUCCAUAUGCUACAAUUCAGUAGAGACUUUGUCUAAACAUUCCAUAUCCGGCGAAGAAAGGAGGAGGGGAAGGGGAUUUACCGAUCGUGGUCUCAUGGAGGAGCAACAUCGUAGGGUAACGGGCAACGUUGUAAUACGGUGGUGGAGGUCGCCGGUGGGCUCAUCAGUGCCGGCGGCCAGCGGAGUGGGAGAAAAAGCCGACGACCAAGACGACGAUGGCGACCAAGAAGAUGCCGUCGCCGGCAGCAAAGAGGAGGUAGGGGGUGGAUAGUAUGAGAGAAGAGGAGAG
rnacentral:lncRNA from 1 species